GACGAACGCUGGCGGCGUGCUUAACACAUGCAAGUCGAACGGAAAGGCCCUGCUUGCAGGGUCCUCGAGUGGCGAACGGGUGAGUAACACGUGGGUGAUCUGCCCUGCACUUCGGGAUAAGCUUGGGAAACUGGGUCUAAUACCGGAUAGGAGCUAUCUUUAGUGUGGUGGUUGGAAAGUUUUUUCGGUGUAGGAUGAGCUCGCGGCCUAUCAGCUUGUUGGUGGGGUAAUGGCCUACCAAGGCGGCGACGGGUAGCCGGCCUGAGAGGGUGUACGGCCACAUUGGGACUGGGCUACGGCCCAGACUCCGACAGGAGGCAGCAGUGGGGAAUAUCGGACCAUGCGCGACAGCCUGAUGCAGGGAGGCCGCGUGGGGGAUGAAGGCCUUCGGGUUGUAAAAUCCUUUGGCUAGGGACGAAGCUUUUUUGUGACGGUACCUAGAUAAGAAGCACCGGCUAACUACGUG
rnacentral:rRNA from 1 species